GCCCAGCCGUAAACUUUAAUUUACUCCAACAUCGCCCGGGAACUACGAGCAAAGCUUAAAACCCAAAGGACUUGACGGUACCCCAUAUCCCCCUAGAGGAGCCUGUCCUAUAAUCGAUAACCCCCGUUUAACCUCACCAUUUUUAGUUAAUCAGCCUGUAUACCUCCGUCGUCAGCUUACCACGUGAGCGAUAUUUAGUGAGCUUAAUGCCCCUACGCCAACACGUCAGGUCAAGGUGCAGCAAAUGAAAUGGGAAGAGAUGGGCUACACUUUCUAAUUUAGAAAAUACGAAAGACUACCUAUGAAAUCUAGUCAGAAGGCGGAUUUAGCAGUAAAAAGAAACUAGAGAGUUCUUUUUAACCCGGCACUGGGGUGUGUACACACCGCCCGUCACCCUCUUCAAAGCUUUAAAAAAGUAUUUAACCAAAUAUAGCACUAUAGAAGAGGCAAGUCGUAACAUGGUAAGUAUACCGGAAGGUGUGCUUGGAAA
rnacentral:rRNA from 1 species